rnacentral:lncRNA from 1 species
UGAGGCACAGAAAGCCCAAGCUCUUGCACAAGGAUCAGAAGGGGGUAUAACCAGAAUUUGUUUCUCAGCAUCCUGACCAACAAUUAUUUUACCUACUAAACAGGGAAGCCUUUCAAAUAUAAUCCAGGGUAUCCGCUUCAUUUUACAACUAAAGAAAUGAAGGCUGGGUAAGGAUAAAGGACUCACAAAGAUCGUGUGUUUAGUUUCUGCUGGUCUAGACAUCUGGGUUCCAAAAGAAGAAUGCAUCUCCCAGGAGACAUGACAAUGAUUCCAUUCAACAGGAAGUUGAGACUGCCACCUGAACACUUUGGGCUCCUCAUGCCUCUGAAUCAACGGGCAAAGAAGAGAGUUAUAGAUCCUAACCACCCAGGAGAAAUUCGGUGGCCACUACACAAACAGACUUUUCUGACUCUGCGGCCAGGUGUUUGUAUUUAACUCCACGGUGAGGAGACUCAUCUUCUGACGGACCUAACCUAUACCAUCAAGCUCCAGCACCACAAGCAAAGACAAAAACCUUGCGGAAACUAUUUAACUAACUCCCACAAUUGCAUAAGAAGAGUCAUGAUCCUAAGAACAGAAGGGAGAUCCCUGUUGCUUUGACUUCUUGCUGUCCUCCUGCUAUUUGGCUCAAAAUGCAAACUCAGUUAUGAGAAGUACAUAGAAGAACAGGUAAACUAAAGCCUGGGCUUUUUCACCAGAGGAUGUGGAAAAGAGGCUUCAGGAAAUUGAGAAGUAUUAUGGAGAUUGCAAAAAUGAGGGAGCUGAAGAAAGAGUUAGAAUGACAGUGAAUGUGAGAAGAGAGAGAGAUGAAUACCACGAAGUUGCGUAUGUACUGCUGGACUAUACCCUGAACUGAGCAUGUAAACAUCUGACCACAGAUGGUAUAAUAAGGCUUUGAAAACUAAGCUACAAUAAAGACCAUCACCCAGGCCAAAAAUUGCUACUUGGAAAUGCACACACAGACUGAUCCAAAUAGCAUUGAAAACACUUAAAGAAAUGGUGCAGACAUUGGAGUCACAAUCCAAAGAAGGCAGAUCAGAGUUUGUUCCAUAAGCCUGAAUAGGUUGAUUGCUUAAUAUAAGAAGAAAAUCAACCUUUUUCUUAUGAUUUAAGACAUAAUCAGAGUCUCAUAACAUAUUCUCAAAAUGCCCAGGAUAUAAUUUAAAAUUAUUUGGCAUAUGAGAAACCAGUGUGAUCGUCUCUUAACUCUUAAAGAAAAAGACAAUUAAAAAUAUCACAAUCAAAAUGACAGGAAUGUUGUAUUUAUCAGAUAAAGACAUUAAAGAGAUAUUAUAACCAUGCUCUAACAGGCAAAUGAAAAGACUCAUAAUGAAUAGAAAAAUAGAAGGUCUCAGCAAAGAGAAAGAAUAUAUGAAGAUGAAAAAUGGAAAUUUUAGAACUGGACAAUGUGACAGUCCAAAGAGAAAAUUCACUGGAUGGACUAAAUAGGAUAAUGGAGAUAACAGAGGAAAAGAGGCAGAUGACUUGAAUACCGAUCAUGAGAAAUUAACUAUUUCAAAGAAGAGAGUAAAAAGAGACUUAAAAAUAAAAUGAACAGAGCCUCUGAGUCCUGUGAAACAAUGUCAAAAAGCCUAAUAUUGGUGUCAUCUGAACCACAGAAGGAGGAAGAAAGUAUGAGAAAAAAUAUCUAAAGAAAAAUAGCCAGAAACUUCCUUAAUUUGGCGAAAGAUAAAAUCUUAAAGAUGCCUGAGGAGGCUCAGGAAACUCUAAGGAGAAGAAGCUACAAAAAAUCUACACUCUAAAACUUCUGAAAUUAAAAAACAAAGAAAAAAUUUUUGAAUGCACCCAGAAACUCAAUACAAAUGGAGAAUUCUGAUUUGAAUACUGUAUAUUUUAUAUAAGGAAACAUGGUAGUUAAGGGGAAGUGGAACAACAUUUUUUAAGUGAUGCAAAAAAUGAUUCUAUAUUCAGAAAUCUUUAUCCAGUAAAAAUAUUCUUGAUAAAUGAAAAUCAAAUAAAGAUAUUCCUGAUGAAACUAAACUAAGAGCAUUUGCUGUCAGUAAGAAACCUGUAACACCAGGAAUAAAGGAAGAGUAACAGAUUUGGUAAAAUAUAAGAGACUAUUCUUCUCUCCUUCAGUUCUUUAAAAUAUGCACAAUGAUUAAAAACAUAAAUUAUAACAAAAUAUACAACAUAAAAGGAGAAUAAAUGUACCUAUAUUUUGAUGAUUUUCUGCUUACCCUUUAAAGUGAUAAAAUAUUGACUCUAAAUAGAAUGUAAAAAAGUAAGUAUAUGUGUCAUAAUCCCUACAGGGAAACGACCAAAAAUACUAUACAAAGUGAUAUCUUCAAAAACUCAAUGAUAAAUUAAAAUAGAAUACUGAAAAAGAAAAAAAAAAGCAUUUACCUAAUCCCAAAGAAGGCAGCAAAGGGGAGACAAAAAAAUGAAAAAGAAAAAUUAGAAAACCAGCAGUAAAAUGGUAGAUCUAAAUUUAAACAUGCUGAUAAUUCUAUUAAAUUUGAAUGUUUUAAACUCAUCACUUGAAAUACAGAGAUUGUCAAGAUAUCUUUAAUUUUUUAAGAAAACAACCCAUAUCUAUCUACAACAACCCUAGUUUAUAUAUAAUUAGAGUAAAAGUAAAUGGAUGGCAAAAAUGGUAUACAACAACUAAUCAAAAGAAAACUGUAGUAGCUA